AGUUAGCUGACGAGUCUCAAAUAGGACGAAAUUUGCGUUAUCCUAGAU
rfam:Trichobilharzia regenti genome assembly, scaffold: TRE_scaffold0062508